CACGUAGGGUGCGAGCGUUGUCCGGAAUUAUUGGGCGUAAAGAGCUCGUAGGCGGUGUGUCGCGUCGGCCGUGAAAACCUGCAGCUUAACUGUGGGCGUGCGGUCGAUACGGGCAUCACUGGAGUUCGGCAGGGGAGACUGGAAUUCCUGGUGUAGCGGUGAAAUGCGCAGAUAUCAGGAGGAACACCGGUGGCGAAGGCGGGUCUCUGGGCCGAUACUGACGCUGAGGAGCGAAAGCGUGGGAGCAAACAGG
rnacentral:rRNA from 1 species